AACGUAGGACACGAGCGUUAUCCGGAUUUACUGGGCGUAAAGCGUGUGCAGGCGGUGCGGUAAGUCGGACGUGAAAGCUCCCGGCUCAACUGGGAGAGGCCGUUCGAAACUCCCGCACUAGAGGGCAGGAGAGGAGCGUGGAAUUCCGGGUGGAGUGGUGAAAUGCGUAGAUAUCCGGAGGAACACCAGUGGCGAAGGCGGCGCUCUGGACUGCUCCUGACGCUAAGACACGAAAGCUAGGGUAGCGAACGGGAUUAGAUACCCUCGUA
rnacentral:rRNA from 1 species